rnacentral:rRNA from 1 species
CACGUAGGGCGCAAGCGUUGUCCGGAAUUAUUGGGCGUAAAGAGCCCGUAGGCGGUCUGUCGCGUCUGCUGUGAAAUCCCGAGGCUCAACCUCGGGCCUGCAGUGGGUACGGGCAGACUAGAGUGCGGUAGGGGAGAUUGGAAUUCCUGGUGUAGCGGUGGAAUGCGCAGAUAUCAGGAGGAACACCGAUGGCGAAGGCAGAUCUCUGGGCCGUAACUGACGCUGAGGAGCGAAAGCGUGGGGAGCGAACAGG